rnacentral:rRNA from 1 species
CACGUAGGCGGUUUGUUAAGUCAGAGGUGAAAUCCCGGAGCUCAACUCCGGAACUGCCUUUGAUACUGGCAAGCUAGAGUCCGGAAGAGGUAAGUGGGACUCCUAGUGUAGAGGUGGAAUUCGUAGAUAUUAGGAAGAACACCAGUGGCGAAGGCGGCUUACUGGUCCGGAACUGACGCUGAGGUGCGAAAGCGUGGGGAGCAAACA